rnacentral:misc_RNA from 1 species
AGCUAAUCUCUUAAAGCCGUUCUCAGUUCGGAUUGUAGGCUGCAACUCGCCUACAUGAAGUUGGAAUCGCUAGUAAUCGCGGAUCAGCAUGCCGCGGUGAAUACGUUCCCGGGCCUUGUACACACCGCCCGUCACACCAUGAGAGUUUGUAACACCCAAAGUCGGUGGGGUAACCUUUUAGGAACCAGCCGCCUAAGGUGGGACAGAUGAUUAGGGUGAAGUCGUAACAAGGUAGCCGUAGGAGAACCUGCGGCUGGAUCACCUCCUUUCUAAGGAAUAUUACGGAAACCUGCACAUACGUCGAAACUUUGUUUAGUUUUGAGAGGUCUAACUCUCAAACUUGUUCUUUGAAAACUAGAUAAUAUCAAAUAUAUUUUUUCAUAAUGAAACCGAGAACACCGCGUUUUUUGAGUUUUUUAUUGAAGUUUAA